rnacentral:rRNA from 1 species
UGAGGAAUAUUGGUCAAUGGGCGGGAGCCUGAACCAGCCAAGUCGCGUGAGGGAAGACGGUCCUAUGGAUUGUAAACCUCUUUUGUCGGGGAGCAAAGAGGCCACGUGUGGUCAAAAGCGAGAAUACCCGAAGAAAAAGCAUCGGCUAACUCCGUGCC